CGUCCCAUUUUAUAAAGUAUUCGACCGGGUUUCACAACAGCUACCCAAUAUUCAGGGGAUCCUUUUCCCGAACCCAUACGUGUUUCCGCGGGUCGUAUAGU